rnacentral:tRNA from 1 species
UGCGCCCAUGUCGUACGGGCCGGGACGGCGCUCGGGAUGCCGCGGGAACCGGUCUUCGUGGAGUUCCAGUACGCCGGGGCGCAC